GGCGCCGCGCCGGUCAGAGGAGAGGCAUGGGGCGCCCGCGGGCCGGGGCCGGGGCCGGGGCCUAGGCGAGAGGACCUGCGAGCGGACCUGAGCGGCGGCGGCGGCGCAGCGCAGCGGUCGAGCGGGCCGGAGGCGGCCGGGGCGCCGGGCGCAGGCACCCGUGCCUCCCCACUGCCAGGGGCCUGGUGGCCGGAACCUGGUCACUCCAGGUACUGGAGGGCCCCGUCCCACGUUGCUUCCCGCCAGCACCUCUGACCAAGCGCCCGGAGGGAUGUGUGUGCCAGCCCUCGGUCCAGCACCCGCUCCCAAGGUGACGCCUGCUGCUUCCCGACUGGUUCCCAUUUCCCCUCCGCACGUAGCUCCGGGGUUGAUUAGCUGCUGCCCGGGAGAGGAGACCCGGGCAACGCGCUAGGGCGACGGCCCCUGCCCCGAGGGCCGGGAUCAUGAAAGGCCUCGGUGACAGCCGCCCCCGCCACCUGUCCGACAGCCUGGACCCACCACACGAGCCCCUGUUCGCAGGGCCUGAUCGAAACCCCUACCUGCUAUCGCCCACGGAGGCCUUCGCCCGCGAGGCUCGCUUCCCCGGGCAGAAUGCUCUGCCAGGGGACGGGCUUUUCCCGCUCAACAACCAGCUGCCACCACCGAGCAGCACCUUCCCCCGCAUCCACUACAACUCCCACUUCGAGGUGCCAGAGGAGAGCCCCUUCCCCAGCCACGCCCAGGCCACCAAGAUCAACCGGCUGCCCGCCAACCUCCUGGACCAGUUUGAGAAACAGCUGCCUAUCCACCGCGAUGGCUUCAGCACUCUCCAGUUCCCCCGCGGGGAGGCCAAGGCCCGGGGCGAGAGUCCUGGCCGCAUCCGCCACCUGGUCCACUCGGUCCAGCGGCUCUUCUUCACCAAGGCGCCCUCCCUGGAGGGCACGGCAGGCAAGGUCGGCGGCAAUGGCGGCAAGAAAGGUGGCCUGGAGGACGGCAAGGGCCGGAGGGCCAAGAGCAAGGAGCGGGCCAAGGCCGGGGAGCCCAAGCGGCGCAGCCGUUCCAACAUCUCGGGCUGGUGGAGCUCCGACGACAACUUGGAUGGUGAGGGUGGCACGUUCCGCAGCGGUGGCCCAGCCUCUGGACUGAUGACCCUAGGCCGCCAGACGGAGCGCAGCCAGCCACGCUAUUUCACACACGCCUACAACACCAUCAGUGGGCACAUGCUCAGAGCCGCCAAGAACAACACCGCCGAGCUGACCGCCCCGCCACCUCCGCCGGCACCCCCGGCCACCUGCCCCAGCCUUGGGGUGGCCGCGGACACCAACUAUGUCAAGCGGGGCUCCUGGUCCACCCUGACCCUCAGCCACGCCCAUGAGGUCUGCCAGAAGACCUCAGCCACCUUGGAUAAGAGCCUGCUAAAGUCCAAAUCCUGCCACCAAGGUCUUGCCUACCAUUACCUGCAGGUGCCCGGAGGCGGCGGCGAAUGGACCACCUCGCUGCUGUCCCCGCGCGAGGCGGACGCCACAGGCGAGGGCCCCAUCCCUUGCCGGCGAAUGCGCAGCGGCAGCUACAUCAAGGCCAUGGGCGACGAGGACAGUGACGAGUCCGGCGGCAGCCCCAAGCCCUCCCCCAAGACGGCGGCGCGGCGCCAGAGCUACCUGAGGGCCACGCAGCAGUCGCUGGGAGAGCAGAGCAAUCCCCGCAGGAGUCUGGACCACCUGGAUUCAGUGGAUAUGCUGCUGCCCUCCAAGUGUCCGAGCUGGGAGGAGGACUACCACCCCGUCAGCGACAGCCUCAACGACUCCAGUUGCAUCAGCCAGAUGUUUGGACAGGCCUCCCUGAUCCCCCAGUUGUUUGGCCACGAGCAGCAGGUACCAAGAUGGCCUGAGACAUGGGUCAGACAGACCCUUCCAGAACCAUUGGAGAGUGUAUGUAUGGUACGGGAGGCAGAUCUGAGCGACCAGUAUGAGGCAGCCUGCGAGUCGGCCUGCAGUGAAGCAGAGUCGACCGCGGCGGAGGCUCUAGACUUGCCGCUGCCCAGCUACUUCCGCUCCCGCAGCCACAGCUACCUGCGCGCCAUCCAGGCGGGCUGCUCGCAGGAAGAGGACAGUGUUUCCCUGCAGUCCCUUUCCCCCCCUCCCAGCACCGGCAGCCUCAGCAAUAGUCGCACGCUUCCGAGUUCAUCAUGCCUAGUGGCGUAUAAGAAGACCCCGCCACCGGUCCCUCCACGCACCACAUCGAAGCCGUUCAUCUCCGUCACGGUCCAGAGCAGCACUGAGUCUGCCCAGGACACCUACCUGGACAGCCAGGACCACAAGAGCGAAGUGACGAGCCAGUCCGGCCUGAGCAACUCGUCGGACAGCCUGGACAGCAGUACCCGACCGCCCAGUGUGACACGGGGCGGAGUCACCCCAGCCCCCGAGGUCCCUGAGCCACCCCCAAAACAUGCAGCUUUGAAGAGCGAACAAGGGACGCUGACCAGCUCCGAAUCCCACCCUGAGGCCAUUCCCAAAAGGAAACUGUCAUCUAUAGGAAUACAAGUUGACUGCAUUCAGCCAGUGCCAAAAGAGGAGCCCAGUCCCGCUACCAAAUUCCAGUCCAUCGGGGUUCAGGUAGAGGACGACUGGCGAAGCAGCGCCCCGUCUCACAGCAUGUCCUCCCGACGGGACACCGACUCGGAUACCCAGGAUGCCAACGACUCGAGCUGUAAGUCAUCUGAGAGGAGCCUCCCAGACUGCACCCCACACCCCGACUCCAUCAGCAUCGAUGCCGGCCCCCGGCAGACCCCCAGGAUUGCCCAGAUCAAGCGCAACCUCUCCUAUGGAGACGACAGCGACCCUGCCUUAGAGGCAUCCUCGCUGCCCCCGCCCGACCCCUGGCUGGAGACGUCCUCCAGCUCCCCUGCGGAGCCAGCACAGCCAGGUGCCUGCCGCCGGGACGGCUACUGGUUCUUGAAGCUGCUUCAGGCAGAAACGGAGCGGCUGGAAGGCUGGUGCUGCCAGAUGGACAAGGAGACCAAAGAGAACAGCCUCUCUGAAGAAGGACCACAAUUCUUCGUUGACACCACCAUGCUUUCUGAUCAAAUUGUGUACGUCCACCCAAGGCCCUGUGUGACUUAUGGCCACAAGUUUUAAUGUCACUGUUCUUACAUAUGUGGAAGAGCUUCACCAAGGAGGUACCUCAAGGAGACCAUGAUACCUUCAUAUCGUGCAGAAGCUUGGAGGAUAUUUACAGGCAGGGGGAGAGGACAGGGAUUCCAGAAGCAGGAAGGGCAGGGCAGGUCCAGGAAUCACAAGUGAAAAGGAAGGGGUGGGAAGAGGGGGAUGGUGGGUCACAAGAGUAGGAAGCUGACUGAGAAGGGCCUCAAAUAUCAGAUCAAAGGAUUGGGCAUUACCCUCCAGGCAGGAGAGAGCAGCUGGGGGAUCUGAAGCAACAGUGAGAUGGUCAGAUUUUCUUUUUAGAAAGAUCACCCUUGAUUGCUGUGUGGAAAAAGCUUUGGAAACAGGGAGACCAGGGUGGUGGGGUGGAAGAGGAGGGAAUGGAUAAACAAGAAAAUUUCUGAACGUUCUGAAUGGACCGGCUAAAGGGGCACAGGGUUGGAGUCAGGUGAAUCCCUCCAGCUUCCCUGGUUUGGGCCACAGGUGGAUGGAGAGGUCAUCAACUUGAAAGAGGGAGGCGGAGGCAGGGCGUGCUUGGCUGGAUAAGGAGGGGCUCUUGGGGAAGCAAGAUUACAGAGGUCAGGUUGUGCAGAUGUCUUUCUUGCUGUUGAAGGAGAUGCGGAUGAAAUGAACGCUUCAGCGUAGUCUGUGGGAACUCCUGUGGCCAGGGGGUUGAUCAGGAUUGUUCCAGAGUGAGUGGAGAAUCAGAGAGCCUUGAACGCUGGGCGGCCUGCCAUGAGCCAGCAUUCGGCAUUCAUCGUCUUGUUUACUCCCGGCUAUCCAGUGAGGUUGGAGCUAUUAGAAUCGUGUCUUGAAGAAGAAACACACAAAUGGAGGUGAAGUGCUCUGCCACUCGUCUGAGCCUGCUUCCCCCCAUUGUUCAGUGGCGGUAAUGACCCCACCCUCAGCCUGUGGUGGGGUAAGAUGAGACCCUGUGCAUGCGGAGUGCUUGGUGGCGAAUGGCAGCAGCCGUGCCUGCUGCAGCUGCCGUCACCAUCACCCUAAUUUGUGGAUAGACGCAGCCCAGGCCAGGAGCUGAAAAGGCCACACCUCUAGCCUCAGUGCUGGGAGAUGAGAGGUGAACGAGGGUAGACAUAGAGCUAGCAGCCUGAGGGAAGGGGCCUGCCAUCCCAUUUCCCCAGCUCUGGCGAGGAAGGAAACUAAGAGACCUUGGGCGAGUCACCUCAGUUCUCCAGGCCUCCACUUCCUCACCUGUGAAUUGGGUGGACCAGUACCAACCCCACAGGACUGUGUAUUAAUGUAAGAUUAGAAACACAAAGCCCUUGGCAAGAACCCAAGAGGUGGUAGCAUUUAUUACAGUUGUUGUCGUUAAUGUUGAUAUUAAUAUUACUAGAAACAGGCAUUGUAGCCUCCUCCACUUUCACCAGUGGGCAGUUCUGAGUGCAGGUCUCCUUUUUAGGACCUCCCCUAAAGAACUAGUUUGUGUGUAGAGGCGUAUACAAGGAUGUCUUUGCUGUAUUAUUUGUAAUAAAGCAGGCCCCUCACUGCCUAUCACUAAGUGUUCAGUUACCUUUGUUGCAUAAAAAGUGACCUCAAACUUAGUGACAUAAAACAACCAGCAUUUUAUUAUGGUUAUGGCUGUAACAGUAGGUCAGCAAUUCAGGAGGAGCAUGGCAAGAACAUCUCAUCUCUGCUCCAAGAUGUCUGGGGCCUCAGCUGGGAUGACUCAGGGCCUGAUAUCCGACGGAAGGAAUUACCUGAAGGUAGUUCACUCACAUUUCUGGUGCCUAGACCAGAGUGACCUAAAGACCAGGACUGCUUGCCGGAGACCCUGUGUACGUCUUCUCCACGGGACUUUGCUUCCUCACAGGCAGCCUCGGGGCAGUCAGACUUCUUACCUGUUGGCUCCGGGCUCCAGGCUAACAAGGCUGCCUUGCCUUUGAUGACCUCGCCUCAGAACUCACCUGGGAUCUCUACCGCUGUAUUUUACUGGCGACAAGAAGUCACAAGCCCACCCAGGUUCAAGGACGGGGAGAAUUAGACCCCGCCUCUUGAUAGGGGAGUGUCAGGGUUCUAGAAGAACUCGAGAGACAGGAGACACUGCUGGGGUCAUCUUUGGAAAAUACAGUCUGCCACAAUACAGAACCAGUUCAAUCUAAUACGCGGCAGUUACAAAGAGCGCUUUUACUACUGAACAGUAUGUUGUGAAGUUCUGUCUAGUUUGACGCAUACAGAUCUGCUUCAGUUUGGUUAAAUUCUGUGACGUGUUCAGUGAGAUACAUGAAAUACUGCAUUUUCUUUGCCCACGUUCCUGACGAUGGAUGUUUAGGUGUUUUCAGGGUUUUAUCAGCAUCUUGGCACAUGUCUUUCUUGGCAUCAUAUGUGAGAGAAUCUCUCUAGGAUACUUACCUUCCUUGGACAGAAUUGCUGGAUGGAUGGAAACACAUUUUAUAUUUUAAUCAGUUCUGCCUGAUCGCUCUCCAAAGGUUAUACCAGUGUAUCCUUACACCAACAGUGUUGGAAAAUUUCCAUUUCUCUUGUAUCCUCACUGAUGCUUGAUCCUGUCAGACUCUAAAUUAAUUAUUUGUCUUAGGGAAGGUCCUCAGUGCUGUGGGCAGUGCCCAGCUACUGAUGUCACAGAAAUUCCAGCAGUUCCGGGGCCUCUGUGAGCAAAACUUGAACCCUGAUGCCAACCCAC